rnacentral:rRNA from 1 species
UACGAAGGGUCCAAGCGUUAUCCGGAUUUAUUGGGUUUAAAGGGUGCGUAGGCGGCUUAUUAAGUCAGUGGUGAAAGCCUUCAGCUCAACUGAAGAACUGCCAUUGAUACUGAUGAGCUUGAGUAUAUUUGAGGCCGGCGGAAUGUGUCAUGUAGCGGUGAAAUGCUUAGAUAUGACACAGAACACCGAUUGCGAAGGCAGCUGGCUAAACUAUAAACUGACGCUGAUGCACGAAAGCGUGGGGAGCAAACAGG